rnacentral:rRNA from 1 species
AACGAACGCUGGCGGCAGGCUUAACACAUGCAAGUCGAGCGCCCCGCAAGGGGAGCGGCAGACGGGUGAGUAACGCGUGGGAAACUACCCUUUGGUACGGAAUAACACAGAGAAAUUUGUGCUAAUACCGUAUGUGCCCUUCGGGGAAAGAUUUAUCGCCAUAGGAUGUGCCCGCGUAGGAUUAGCUAGUUGGUGUGGUAAUGGCGCACCAAGGCGACGAUCCUUAGCUGGUCUGAGAGGAUGAUCAGCCACACUGGGACUGAGACACGGCCCAGACUCCUACGGGAGGCAGCAGUGGGGAAUAUUGGACAAUGGGCGCAAGCCUGAUCCAGCCAUGCCGCGUGAGUGAUGAAGGCCUUAGGGUUGUAAAGCUCUUUCACCCACGACGAUAAAUGACGGUAGUGGGAGAAGAAGCCCCGGCUAACUUCGUG